UACGGGGGGGGCAAGCGUUGUUCGGAAUUACUGGGCGUAAAGGGCUCGUAGGCGGCCAACUAAGUCGGAUGUGAAAUCCCCAGGCUCAACUUGGGAACUGCAUCCGAUACUGGAUGGCUUGAAUUCGGGAGAGGGAUGCAGAAUUCCAGGUGUAGCGGUGAAAUGCGUAGAUAUCUGGAGGAAUACCGGUGGCGAAGGCGGCAUCCUGGACCGACAUUGACGCUGAGGAGCGAAAGCUAGGGGAGCAAACAGG
rnacentral:rRNA from 1 species